rnacentral:rRNA from 1 species
GACGAACGCUGGCGGCGUGCUUAACACAUGCAAGUCGAACGAAGUGGCGAACGGGUGAGUCACGCGUAAUAAACCUGCCCUUCAGAGGGGGACAACAGUUGGAAACGACUGCUUAUACCGCAUACUGAAGGAGGUGAUUGCGUCUGUUUAGCGAGUUGGAGGGGUAAAGGCCCACCAAGGCGAUGAUCAGUAGCCGGUCUGAGAGGUUGACCGGCAACAUUGGGACUGAGACACGGCCCAGACUCCUACGGGAGGCAGCAGUAGGGAAUCUGCCGCAAUGGACGAAAGUCUGACGGAGCAACGCCGCGUGAGUGAUGACGGCUUGCGGGUUGUAAAGCUCUGUUGUUCGAGAAGCGGUACCUGAAUAGAAAGGCACGGCUAACUACGUGCCAGCAGCCGCGGUAAUUC